rnacentral:rRNA from 1 species
AACGUACGCUGGCGGCACGCCUAACACAUGCAAGUCGAACGAAGUAGCAAUACUUAGUGGCAGACGGGUGAGUAACAUGUAGGUAUCUGCCCUUUGGCCUGGAAUAACACGAGGAAACUUGUGCUAAUACCGGAUAAGUCUUUACGGAGAAAGCUUUAUGCACCAUUGGAUGAGCCUGCACUUGAUUAGUUUGUUGGUGGGGUAAUGGCCUACCAAGACUGUGAUCAAUAGCUGAUUUGAGAGGAUGAUCAGCCACAUUGGGACUGAGACACGGCCCAAACUCCUACGGGAGGCAGCAGUGGGGAAUCUUGCACAAUGGAGGAAACUCUGAUGCAGCGAUGCCGCGUGAGUGAAGAAGGCCCUUGGGUUGUAAAGCUCUUUCGUCGGGGAAGAAAAUGACUGUACCCGAAUAAGAAGGUCCGGCUAACUUCGUGCCAGCAGCCGCGGUAAUACGAAGGGACCUAGCGUAGUUCGGAAUUACUGGGCUUAAAGAGUUCGUAGGUGGUUGAAAAAGUUAGUGGUGAAAUCCCAGAGCUUAACUCUGGAACUGCCAUUAAAACUUUUCAGCUAGAGUAUGAUAGAGGAAAGCAGAAUUUCUAGUGUAGAGGUGAAAUUCGUAGAUAUUAGAAAGAAUACCAAUUGCGAAGGCAGCUUUCUGGAUCAUUACUGACACUGAGGAACGAAAGCAUGGGUAGCGAAGAGGAUUAGAUACCCUCGUAGUCCAUGCCGUAAACGAUGUGUGUUAGACGUUGGAAAUUUAUUUUCAGUGUCGCAGGGAAACCGAUAAACACACCGCCUGGGGAGUACGACCGCAAGGCUAAAACUCAAAUGAAUUGACGGGGACCCGCACAAGUAGUGGAGCAUGUGGUUUAAUUCGAAGAUACGCGCAGAACCUUACCAACACUUGACAUGUUCGUCGCGACUCUAAGAGAUUAGAGUUUUCGGUUCGGCCGGACGAAACACAGGUGCUGCAUGGCUGUCGUCAGCUCGUGUCGUGAGAUGUUGGGUUAAGUCCCGCAACGAGCGCAACCCUCACUUUUAGUUGCCAUCAUUAAGUUGGGCACUCUGAAAGAACUGCCAGUGAUAAGCUGGAGGAAGGUGGGGAUGACGUCAAGUCCUCAUGGCCCUUACGUGUUGGGCUACACACGUGCUACAAUGGUAUCUACAACAGGAAGCAAGACUGCGAAGUUAAGCAAAUCCCUAAAAGAUACCUCAGUUCGGAUUGCACUCUGCAACUCGAGUGCAUGAAGCUGGAAUUACUAGUAAUCGUGGAUCAGCGUGCCACGGUGAAUGCGUUCCCGGGUCU